CCUACGGGAGGCAGCAGUGAGGAAUAUUGGUCAAUGGACGCAAGUCUGAACCAGCCAUUCCGCGUGCAGGAAGACGGCACUAUGAGUUGUAAACUGCUUUUGUACGAGGGUAAACGCAGAUACGCGUAUCUGUCUGAAAGUAUCGUACGAAUAAGGAUCGGCUAACUCCGUGCCAGCAGCCGCGGUAAUACGGAGGAUUCAAGCGUUAUCCGGAUUUAGUGGGUUUAAAGGGUGCGUAGGCGGUCGGAUAAGUUAGAGGUGAAAUCCCGAGGCUCAACUUCGGAAUUGCCUCUGAUACUGUUCGGCUAGAGAGUAGUUGCGGUAGGCGGAAUGUAUGGUGUAGCGGUGAAAUGCUUAGAGAUCAUACAGAACACCGAUUGCGAAGGCAGCUUACCAAGCUACUUCUGACGUUGAGGCACGAAAGCGUGGGGAGCAAACAGGAUUAGAUACCCGGGUAGUC
rnacentral:rRNA from 1 species